AAUUUUGGACAAUGGGGGAAACCCUGAUCCAGCCAUCCCGCGUGUGCGAUGAAGGCCUUCGGGUUGUAAAGCACUUUUGUCAGGGAAGAAAUCGUACAGGCUAAUAUCCUGUGCGGAUGACGGUACCUGAAGAAUAAGCACCGGCUAACUACGUGCCAGCAGCCGCGGUAAUACGUAGGGUGCAAGCGUUAAUCGGAAUUACUGGGCGUAAAGCGUGCGCAGGCGGUUCGGCAAGAAGGAUGUGAAAUCCCAGGGCUUAACCUUGGAACUGCAUUCUUAACUGCCGGGCUAGAGUAUGUCAGAGGGGGGUAGAAUUCCGCGUGUAGCAGUGAAAUGCGUAGAGAUGCGGAGGAAUACCGAUGGCGAAGGCAGCCCCCUGGGAUAAUACUGACGCUCAUGCACGAAAGCGUGGGGAGCAAACA
rnacentral:rRNA from 1 species